UUGCCCAGGCUGGAGUGCAAUGGCACAGUCUCAGCUCACUGCAACCUCUGCCUCCUGGGUUCAAGCGAUUCUCCUGCCUCAGCCUCCCAAGUGGCUGGGAUUACAGGCAUGCAUCACCCAUGCAUGACUAAUUUUUUGGAUUUAUGGUAGAGAUGGGGUUUC